AAAGGUUUAGGUUCAACCUCAGACCAAAGGCCUUCAAAGCCUUAAGUAGGUGUUAAACCACCUAACCUUUG
rnacentral:tRNA from 1 species